GACGAACGCUGGCGGCGGGCUUAACACAUGCAAGUCGAACGGAAACGCACUACGUGUUUGCUGUUCUCGAUUGCCGGACGCGUGAGUAACAGGUAAGUAACGUGCUCUUGACUUUCGUGUAACUUCAGGAAACGAGGGCUAAUAUCGUAUAGCAUAUCCUCUUCGAGUGAGGGGAUGGGAAAUUUUCGGCGGUUGGGGAUGGACUAGCGGCUUAUGAGCUUGUUGGUGGGGUAGUGGCUUACCAAGGCUUUGACGGGUAGCCGGCCUGAGAGGGUGACCGGCCACAUUGGGACUGAGAUACGGCCCAGACUCCUACGGGAGGCAGCAGUGGGGAAUAUUGCACAAUGGGAGGAAGCCUGAUGAAGCAACGCCGCGUGCGGGAUGACGGCCUUCGGGUUGAAAACCGCUUUCGCCUGUGACGCAGCGUGAGUGACGGUAAUCGGUAAAGAAGCACCGGCUAACUACGUG
rnacentral:rRNA from 1 species